rnacentral:rRNA from 1 species
GAUGAACGCUGGCGGCGUGCCUAAUACAUGCAAGUCGAACGCAUAGCGAAAGGUGCUUGCACCUUUCAAGUGAGUGGCGAACGGGUGAGUAACACGUGGACAACCUGCCUCAAGGCUGGGGAUAACAUUUGGAAACAGAUGCUAAUACCGAAUAAAACUUAGUGUCGCAUGACACAAAGUUAAAAGGCGCUUCGGCGUCACCUAGAGAUGGAUCCGCGGUGCAUUAGUUAGUUGGUGGGGUAAAGGCCUACCAAGACAAUGAUGCAUAGCCGAGUUGAGAGACUGAUCGGCCACAUUGGGUCUGAGACACGGCCCAAACUCCUACGGGAGGCUGCAGUAGGGAAUCUUCCACAAUGGGCGAAAGCCUGAUGGAGCAACGCCGCGUGUGUGAUGAAGGCUUUCGGGUCGUAAAGCACUGUUGUAUGGGAAGAACAGCUAGAAUAGGAAAUGAUUUUAGUUUGACGGUACCAUACCAGAAAGGGACGGCUAAAUACGUG